rnacentral:misc_RNA from 1 species
AACUGUUAGCAAUGGAUCACUUGGCUCUCGCAUCGAUGAAGAACGCAGCGAAAUGCGAUAAGUAAUGUGAAUUGCAGAAUUCAGUGAAUCAUCGAAUCUUUGAACGCACCUUGCGCCCCUUGGCUAUUCCGAGGGGCAUGCCUGUUUGAGUAUCAUGAACAUCUCAACUCUCACGCUUUGCUGUGAUGAGCUUGGACUUUUGGGGGUUUUGCUGGCCCUAUGGUCAGUUCCUCUGAAACAGUUCAGCUUGCCGGUGUUUGGUUGCGUCACGGGUGUGAUAUGUAUCUACGCUUGCGAUUGUCUGGUAAGUACCCCUCGGUGACGGAGGUUCGCUGGAGCUUAUAAACGUCUCUCCUCAGCGAAGACAGCUUUUUGACCGUUCGAUCUCAAAUCAGGUAGGACUACCCGCUGAACUUAAGCAUAUCAAUAAGCGGAGGCU